rfam:Gossypium arboreum cultivar AKA8401 contig_1046_1, whole genome shotgun sequence.
GGGCGUGAUCAUACCAUCACUAAUGCACCAGAUCCCAUCAGAACUCUGCAGUUAAGCGUAUGCGGGCAAAAAUAGUACUAGGAUGGGUGACUUCCUAGGAAGUUUUUGUGUUGCACCCC